ACGCUCGACACCUACGGGAGGCAGCAGUGGGGAAUAUUGGGCAAUGGGCGAAAGCCUGACCCAGCAACGCCGCGUGAGGGAAGAAGGUUUUCGGAUUGUAAACCUCUGUCCUCAGGGACGAAGGACGUGACGGUACCUGAGGAGGAAGCCCCGGCUAACUACGUGCUAGCAGCCGCGGUAAUCUGAGCGGGCUGGCAAGGC
rnacentral:rRNA from 1 species